rnacentral:rRNA from 1 species
UACGUAGGGGGGCAAGCGUUGUCCGGAAUCAUUGGGCGUAAAGAGCGUGUAGGCGGCCCGAUAAGUCCGCCGUGAAAGUCCAGGGCUCAACCCUGGAAUGCCGGUGGAAACUGUCGGGCUGGAGUCCGGAAGAGGCGAGUGGAAUUCCUGGUGUAGCGGUGAAAUGCGCAGAUAUCAGGAGGAACACCAAUGGCGAAGGCAGCUCGCUGGGGACGGUACUGACGCUGAGACGCGAAAGCGUGGGGAGCAAACAGG